rnacentral:misc_RNA from 1 species
GUUCUUGAUCUUUUUGUGGGCUUGUGCUUCAUGAGAUUUUAAAGUGUCAUAGUCUUAUUGAGACUAUUCAAUAUGACUGGAAAGUGAUAUUUUCUUUGUUUCUUUUCUUUGAUGUCCUGUGUAAAGAUGUUCGAAGCAGUGCUUUCUUCUUUCUUCUUUUAGUUAAGGAUAUCUAUAUAAAUUUGUAAUGUAGGUUUAGAUGAUACCUUAUCCCCCAUGUUGUAA